ensembl:lncRNA
AAGAAAUGAAAAGAAAAAUAGAAAAUUAAUUGAAUGCAUUUCAUGAAUUUUUUCUUUUUCUGUCUUUUUAAAAAAAAAAUAAAAAAAUAAAUUUUAUCAUAGGCUAGGAUUUCCCAAGCUCUGAUUCACAUCGUCAUGUUCCAGCUGGAUUCAUGAAACUGUAACGUUAUUCAUUACUCAGAGCUCUAAGCCUGUUUUCCUUCCUCAUGGAAGAUGAUUCCAGGGGCCGCAUUUAUAUUAUUAUAAGAUGUGCUUAAAAUAAUUCUGCGCUUCCUAAGAGCUCCUGCGUGGAUAAAAUGUCCAUAUGUGCUAGAGACGUUAUUCCCAAUGAACGAUGAAUGGGAUACUAAUACCGAUAGAAAUAGGAGGAGCACUCGCCAGGAAGGUCCACAGGGCAUCUGGUUUAAACACGAGGUGUGCAUCGGACUGGGAUCCGGUGUCGAUUAACAUGCGUUUACAGCAUUUAUUUAUUCAUCAUUAGUCGUGAUGGCUUAAACGAUUCUGCUAGGUGCUUAUAUUUUGGGAAUGAGAACCAACUAAAUUUGUUAGAAAAUGUAACAGGCAGGUACAAACAAAAAUAAUAACUGUGUGAGCAGGAUUUCAAAACGAAAAGAAAGAAAGAAAGAAAGAAAGAAAGAAAGAAAGAAAGAAAGAAGAAAGAAAGAAAGAAAUUACUAAGUAAGCAAAGAAAGAAAGAAAGAAAGAAAGAAAGAAGAAAUUACUAAGUAAGCAAAGAAAGAAAGAAAGAAAGAAAGAAGUUGCUAAGAAAGAAAGAAAGAAAGAAGUUACUAAGAACGAAAGAAAGAAAGAAGUUACUAAGAACGAAAGAAAGAAAGAAGUUACUAAGAACGAAAGAAAGAAAGAAAGAAAGAAAGAAGUUACUAAGAAAGAAAGAAAGAAAGAAAGAAAGAAAGAAAGAAAGAAAGAGAAAAGUUACUAAGAACAAAAGAAAGAAGUUACUAAGUAAGCAAAGAAAGAAAGAAAGAAAGAAGUUGCUAAGAAAGAAAGAAAGAAAGAAGUUACUAAGAACGAAAGAAAGAAGUUACUAAGUAAGCAAAGAAGAAAGAAAGAAGUUACUAAGAAAGAAAGAAAGAAAGAAAGAAAGAAGUUGCUAAGAACGAAAGAAAGAAGUUACUAAGAAAGAAAGAAAGAAAGAAAGAAAGAAGUUGCUAAGAAAGAAAGAAAGAAAGAAAGAAAGAAAGAAGAAGUUACUAAGAAAGAAAGAAGUUACUAAGUAAGCAAAGAAAGAAAGAAAGAAAGAAGUUGCUAAGAAAGAAAGAAAGAAAGAAAGAAAGAAGUUACUAAGAAAGAAGAAAGAAAGAAAGAAAGAAGUUGCUAAGAACGAAAGAAAGAAGUUACUAAGAAAGAAAGAAAGAAAGAAAGAAAGAAGUUACUAAGAAAGAAAGAAAGAAGUUACUAAGUAAGCAAAGAAAGAAAGACAGAAGUAGAGAUCUCGGUAUAAUCCCUGACGAGAGAUCAAGUAAAAUACACCUGCUUCCUAUAAUAAUGAUGAUAUAAAAAGGCGUGUGGAAUUUAAGAUCAGAUCUCAUGGUAUGGACAGGUUUAGGGAUGAGGUUUCAGGUUUACGCUCGGGCGCUGUGAACGAGUCACUCUCACUGUGCACUCGGGUGUGGUGUGUAGAGCAGCAGGGGUAACACACAACGUGUGUGGUGUGUGCUCAUGGUUAAUGUGGCAUGACGCAGGAGAGAGAGAGAGCGAGAGAGAGCGAGAGCGAGCGAGAGAGUCGGGCUUGUUGGUUGAGGUGUAAUUGGGAGAGGAGAUACACACACGUGACUGUAAGACCAUGUGUACAUCUGAUCAGUUCAGGUUGUAAGGUUUUAAUUACAUGUGUAGUCAGAUAUAUCACCGCUGAACUGAACUCUGUUUUAUUUGCUGUACCGCAUGUAAUAUGCAGUUCAGCGCUGGUCCAGGUACUGUACUUAAAAAUGGUUUCCACAUCAAUAUAUUUUUUGCUUCAUUAAAGACACCAAUUUGAUGUCAAUUUGAGCAGAUACUGUACGCUGUGACAAUGCACUGAACGCUGUUUAAAAUAUGAUGUAUGAGGAGGGGUUUUGGUGAUGAUGUCAUGUAUGAGGAGGGGUUUUGGUGAUGAUGUCAUGUAUGAGGAGGGGUUUUGGUGAUGAUGUCAUGUAUGAGGAGGGGUUUUGGUGAUGAUGUCAUGUAUGAGGAGGGGUUUCGGUGAUGAUGUAUGAGGAGGGGUUUUGGUGAUGAUGUAUGAGGAGGGGUUUCGGUGAUGAUGUCAUGUAUGAGGAGGGGUUUCGGUGAUGAUGUCAUGUAUGAGGAGGGGUUUCGGUGAUGAUGUAUGAGGAGGGGUUUCGGUGAUGAUGUAUGAGGAGGGGUUUUGGUGAUGAUGUAUGAGGAGGGGUUUUGGUGAUGAUGUAUGAGGAGGGGUUUCGGUGAUGAUGUAUGAGGAGGGGAGGGGUUUUGGUGAUGAUGUAUGAGGAGGGGUUUCGGUGAUGAUGUAUGAGGAGGGGUUUCGGUGAUGAUGUAUGAGGAGGGGUUUCGGUGAUGAUGUAAUGUAUGAGGAGGGGUUUCGGUGAUGAUGUCAUGUAUGAGGAGGGGUUUCGGUGAUGAUGUAAUGUAUGAGGAGGGGUUUCGGUGAUGAUGUCAUGUAUGAGGAGGGGUUUCAGUGAUGAUGAUGUAUGAGGAGGGGUUUCGGUGAUGAUGUAUGAGGAGGGGUUUCGGUGAUGAUGUAUGAGGAGGGGUUUCGGUGAUGUAUGUGAUGAUGUAUGAGGAGGGGUUUCGGUGAUGAUGUAUGAGGAGGGGUUUCGGUGAUGAUGUAUGAGGAGGGGUUUCGGUGAUGAUGUAUGAGGAGGGGUUUCGGUGAUGAUGUAUGAGGAGGGGUUUCGGUGAUGAUGUAUGAGGAGGGGUUUGGUGAUGAUGUCAUGUAUGAGGAGGGGUUUUGGUGAUGAUGUAAUGUAUGAGGAGGGGUUUCGGUGAUGAUGUAAUGUAUGAGGAGGGGUUUCGGUGAUGAUGUCAUGUAUGAGGAGGGGUUUCGGUUAUGAUGUAAUGUAUGAGGAGGGGUUUCGGUGAUGAUGUAAUGUAUGAGGAGGGGUUUCGGUGAUGAUGUCAUGUAUGAGGAGGGGUUUCGGUGAUGAUGUAUG